rnacentral:lncRNA from 1 species
ACACAGAAGAGGAAAUAGAUGAAGAUGAAAUUGUAGUUGCAAGUAAGGAUGUGAUAAAGUGCAUAGAUGAUGAUGAUAACGAUGAAAGUAAUAGCCGGCCAAAUUCAAACAAAAUAACUAGUACUAUCCCUCCCAAUUUAGGCCAAGUUAUUUUUAUGAAUGAUAGUAUAGAGCGAGAACUGAAUUAUACUUAUGGUGAUUCAUUGGAACUCUCGUAAGAUGAAAAUGACAACUAUGUAGUAAUAGAGUCUGCACCGCCAGAAAAAAAGCCAAUACUGAUGAUUACAAGGUGAGUGUUAAGGUUUUAUGGAAUUAAAAUAUUGUGAAACGCUUCGAAAUCAAAAGGGUAAGUAAAGAUUUAUCAAUAGCUAAAAUCAGUUAUGAAACUUUAGAAAAGACUAAAGCCGUUUGGCAGAGAACAAGAGAUGCCUUAAUUCCCUUUGUAAAUAUAUUAUCAAAAUAUCUAUAUUUAUUUCACCAGUAGAUAAUCCUCAUCAUUUCUAAUGUGUAAUCAUUUUAUCAUAGUAUACUCAAUGGAACGAUUUGGACUACAUGGAUAACAAAAACGAUUUCACCUACGAUAAAAAUAAAUUCAAAGAUCUUCCAAAUUUCAUUCAAGAAAUCCAUGAUACUGGAAUGCAUUACAUUCCAUUAAUUGAUGCUGGCGUGUUAGCAAAUGAGAAGAAUGGCACGUACAUUCCGUAGGAUGAAGGCGUCAAACGGGGCAUAUUCAUAUUCGAUAGAGAAAGCAAUGAACCAUUUAAAGGAAAAGUAUGGAAUACAGUAUCUACUACUUGGCCCGACUUCACGAACCCAGAAACAACUUCUUAUUAUACAGAAAUGAUGAGCAAUAUGCACAAAGAUUUUGAAUAUGAUGGUGCUUGGAUAGACAUGCAUGAACCGUCCAACUUCUAUAAUGGCCAUAUUAACGGCUGCAACGUUUAUGAUACUAGUCAAGCAGUGGUUGUUAAUCAAACAACGUAUGCAGACUCUUGAUAAGGAAUUCAAGGCUCUGGAAGACGAAUGCAGGAAAGUGAUGAGAAGGUCAAGGUCUCUCAAGACUUGAACUAACAAUUCAAAGAGCAAUGUCGAGUUGCUAUUGCUGACAGCAUUAAUAUAAGGUAUGUGGGCUAGAGGUCGUCAAGGCUGAUCUCAUAACUUACCUGCACUUCCCUAACUCAGAAGAUAUUCAGAUGGCGUCGUUACGCGACUGGAUCGCGAGCUUGAGGCCGCUUCAUGCAUUGGCGCCGAUUUUCGAAAAAUAAAUGAAUAUCGCGCUGGGUUGCUGGAACAAGUCAACGGCUUUUGGAGUCAUUCUGCAGCGAAUCUUCGAACCGAGCACACGCCUUUUGACUUUUACAUUGUUCUAAGCCAUGGAAGCGUUACUUGAGCGUGACUACCGUCUGAAAUUUCCUGAUAUGCUGCAGAUGAUGAGCAUCACGGAUCGUUUGGCAUUAGAGCUGCCUGGGACAAUCAGCAUCAAGACGAGGGACUGGAGUUUUCAGCAGAUAUCUGCGAAAAUCAACCAGCGCUAUCACCGCAGUUUCAAUCGUCGUAUCACGGUUGGUGAUGUCGAAAUCGUCUGGGAUUAUUUUACCGCACAACACAGCCGCAUCCGCGAGUAUUUGCGACUUGGAUACAUCUGGAAAGCUGACUUGGAUUCGAUUCACUGGGCCAUUUACAAAGACCUCCGCAGUAUGCCGAUGUUAAUUUAAGAAUGUGAUUUAAAAAGAACCUACACGCCAUGAGAGUUUUGUGGCAGGAAAAUCAAAAUGCGCAGCAGAUCGCAGAGGCAGUGAAUUGCUCAUUAGCCACCGCUUACAGGUAUGUGCAACGAUUCCAACAAGAAAUGGAUGGUGGAGAAAUAGUUCAAGAUCGACGAAACAACUCUGGCAGGCAUAACAAGAUAUCCGAUGAGGACCUUGUAUUGGUAAUGGCCGCAAUGCAGGAGGAUCCAUUUCGGGCCGUGAAACAUUUGCCAGAAUUAUUGAACCUAGACGUUCAUGAAGAAAUGCUGAGAACAGCUAUAAAAAAAAGGACAAAUCUUACGUAUCGUAAAGCUGCAGUUAAAUUUCAUCUGAACCACCAGGAUGUCAUCGCUCGCCUGCAUUAUGCCAAUACUUAUUUGAAUAGGACUUAGGAGGAAUGGAGAAGAACGAUAUCAAUCGACGAAAAAGUAUUCUCAACUUGUAAGGACGUACAUACUGCAAGGAUAGUGCAAGACUGGUAUGCAAACCAUCCUGAAAUAAGAAGACUGCCACAUCCACCACGUUCACCGGACCUCAACUACAUUGAGAAUGUUUUUGCAACGAUGGUUGCAGAUUGGAGACCUAAUUUUGCCCCAACAGAGGCAGAAUUACUUUGAAGAGUCAGAAAUAGUUGGGAAAGUUUGCAGUUGAAUUUACACUACUUCAGAGACCUCACAAAUUCAAUGCCUCGUAGACUUCAGGCUGUUAUUGACGCCAAUGGAGGGCACAUCAAUUACUAAGAUGGAUGUGUUAUACUUAAAUUGUAAAUAUGUUCUACAAAGUUUUUAUUCAAGAUGUUUAUUUGAAUUGUUGCUUUUAUUAUAAGCAUUAGCAUUAGUAUUUGAUAGAGAAUCAUGCUUGGAGAACCACCAGUUACGACAGGAUAAUUAGAGAGACAGAUUUCAGAUGAAAGGAAUGUUGUUAAUCUUUUUAUAAAAUCACUUUCAUAUUGACUUUUUAUUCACCAGUUGUCACCUCAAAUGAGAGUGCGGGUAAUAAUGACAAGGGUGACAGAUCAGAAAUAGAAGUUGAUGAUCGACAGCAGGAACAAGCUGGUGGAAAAGCAAAUUCUGUAAAAAUACCAGCAAUCAAAGCUACCAAACUGCAAGGUCACGAAUCAGAAGUAUUCAUUUGUGCUUGGAAUCGUACCACCCAUUCGUCGGCAUCUGGAUCUGGAGACAGUGCAGCACGUAUAUGGGAUAUGUCAGAUAAUUCACAAUCCCCCAAUCAACUAGUCUUGAGACAUUGUAUACAAAGGGCAAGUACUUAGCGGCAAGUCUUUAAAAGAAAGAUCAAAGCUUAGUCAGAAAAGAGUGCACAUUGGAUGGAAGCUCUGCUCGUAAAGUAAAGGCUUCAAACAUACUAAAGGCUCAGACAAGAUAGUAUCCAGUUUCAAGAAUCCUACCAUGACUUGCAGCAUGCAGAGGGAGUACACAGACCACAGAGAUGGUGUCUGGGAAGUCUCUGUGAUGAGAUCCAGCCAACCAAUAAUUGCAACAGCAUCUGCUGAUCAUGCAGACCGCAACCCCAGGAAAGUCAAAAUUUAGGGUUUACUUGUUUCCUGAACUCGUUGCUGCAGUCCUUAGCAGCAUGUCCAGCAUUUAUAGAGUGGCUUCGAAGAAGACAGGAGGAUGUAAAGGGAGAAUCAUUUACAAGCAGCUUGAUGUUGGUUAUAGACAAAAUCAAUGGAUUUACAGAUGAUAUGUUUGGAAGCGUGAGGCCAGUUGAAGUAAUUCCUUCUCUGGGUCCUCUCUGGAAUUUCACUCCUAGUUACUUCUACCACCAGUUACUGAUGUAUAUUUUUUUAUCGGAAUUUCAUUCGCAUUAAAUAAAUAAUAUAAUAAAAACA